rnacentral:rRNA from 1 species
UACAGAGGAUGCAAGCGUUAUCCGGAAUUAUUGGGCGUAAAGCGUCUGUAGGUGGCUUUUUAAGUCCGCCGUCAAAUCCCAGGGCUCAACUCUGGACAGGCGGUGGAAACUACCAAGCUGGAGUACGGUAGGGGCAGAGGGAAUUUCCGGUGGAGCGGUGAAAUGCGUAGAGAUCUGGAGGAAUACCGGUGGCGAAGGCGGCCCCCUGGACAAAGACUGACGCUCAGGUGCGAAAGCGUGGGGAGCAAACAGG